rnacentral:rRNA from 1 species
GACGAACGCUGGCGGCGUGCUUAACACAUGCAAGUCGAACGGAAAGGCCCUGCUUUUGUGGGGUGCUCGAGUGGCGAACGGGUGAGUAACACGUGAGUAACCUGCCCUUGACUUUGGGAUAACUUCAGGAAACUGGGGCUAAUACCGGAUAGGAGCUCCUGCUGCAUGGUGGGGGUUGGAAAGUUUCGGCGGUUGGGGGUGGACUCGCGGCUUAUCAGCUUGUUGGUGGGGUAGUGGCUUACCAAGGCUUUGACGGGUAGCCGGCCUGAGAGGGUGACCGGCCACAUUGGGACUGAGAUACGGCCCAGACUCCUACGGGAGGCAGCAGUGGGGAAUAUUGCACAAUGGGCGGAAGCCUGAUGCAGCAACGCCGCGUGCGGGAUGACGGCCUUCGGGUUGUAAACCGCUUUCGCCUGUGACGAAGCGUGAGUGACGGUAAUGGGUAAAGAAGCACCGGCUAACUACGUGCCAGCAGCCGCGGUGAUACGUAGGGUGCGAGCGUUGUCCGGAUUUAUUGGGCGUAAAGGGCUCGUAGGUGGUUGAUCGCGUCGGAAGUGUAAUCUUGGGGCUUAACCCUGAGCGUGCUUUCGAUACGGGUUGACUUGAGGAAGGUAGGGGAGAAUGGAAUUCCUGGUGGAGCGGUGGAAUGCGCAGAUAUCAGGAGGAACACCAGUGGCGAAGGCGGUUCUCUGGGCCUUUCCUGACGCUGAGGAGCGGAAGCGUGGGGAGCGAACAGGCUUAGAUACCCUGGUAGUCCACGCUGUAAACGGUGGGUACUAGGUGUGGGGUCCAUUCCACGGGUUCCGUGCCGUAGCUAACGCUUUAAGUACCCCGCCUGGGGAGUACGGCCGCAGGGCUAAAACUCAAAGGAAUUGACGGGGCCCCGCACAAGCGGCGGAGCAUGCGGAUUAAUUCGAUGCAACGCGUAGAACCUUACCUGGGUUUGACAUGGAUCGGGAGUGCUCAGAGAUGGGUGUGCCUCUUUUGGGGUCGGUUCACAGGUGGUGCAUGGCUGUCGUCAGCUCGUGUCGUGAGAUGUUGGGUUAAGUCCCGCAACGAGCGCAACCCUUGUUCACUGUUGCCAGCACGUUAUGGUGGGGACUCAGUGGAGACCGCCGGGGUCAACUCGGAGGAAGGUGGGGAUGACGUCAAGUCAUCAUGCCCCUUAUGUCCAGGGCUUCACGCAUGCUACAAUGGCUGGUACAGAGAGUGGCGAGCCUGUGAGGGUGAGCGAAUCUCGGAAAGCCGGUCUCAGUUCGGAUUGGGGUCUGCAACUCGACCUCAUGAAGUCGGAGCCGCUAGUAAUCGCAGAUCAGCAACGCUGCGGUGAAUACGUCCCCGGGGCU